GUAGGUGGCAAGCGUUGUCCGGAAUUAUUGGGCGUAAAGCGCGCGCAGGCGGUUCUUUAAGUCUGAUGUGAAAGCCCACGGCUCAACCGUGGAGGGUCAUUGGAAACUGGAGAACUUGAGUACAGAAGAGGAAAGCGGAAUUCCACGUGUAGCGGUGAAAUGCGUAGAGAUGUGGAGGAACACCAGUGGCGAAGGCGGCUUUCUGGUCUGUAACUGACGCUGAGGCGCGAAAGCGUGGGGAGCAAACAGGGAUUAGAUACCCUGGUAGUCCACGCCGUAAACGAUGAGUUCUAAGUGUUAGGGGGUUUCCCGCCCCUUAGUGCUGCAGCUAACGCAUUAAGCACUCCGCCUGGGGAGUACGGCCGCAAGGCUG
rnacentral:rRNA from 1 species